CACUCCUGCGGGAGGCAGCAGUGGGGAAUAUUGCACAAUGGGCGCAAGCCUGAUGCAGCCAUGCCGCGUGUAUGAAGAAGGCCUUCGGGUUGUAAAGUACUUUCAGCGGGGAGGAAGGCGAUAAGGUUAAUAACCUUGUUGAUUGACGUUACCCGCAGAAGAAGCACCGGCUAACUCCGUGCCAGCAGCCGCGGUAAUACGGAGGGUGCAAGCGUUAAUCGGAAUUACUGGGCGUAAAGCGCACGCAGGCGGUCUGUCAAGUCGGAUGUGAAAUCCCCGGGCUCAACCUGGGAACUGCAUUCGAAACUGGCAGGCUAGAGUCUUGUAGAGGGGGGUAGAAUUCCAGGUGGAGCGGUGAAAUGCGUAGAGAUCUGGAGGAAUACCGGUGGCGAAGGCGGCCCCCUGGACAAAGACUGACGCUCAGGUGUGAAAGCGUGGGGAGCAAACAGGAUUAGAAACCCGGGUAGUCCC
rnacentral:rRNA from 1 species